rnacentral:rRNA from 1 species
CCUACGGGAGGCAGCAGUGAGGACUAUUGGUCAAUGGACGCAAGUCUGAACCAGCCAUGCCGCGUGCAGGAAGACGGCUCUAUGAGUUGUAAACUGCUUUUGUACGGGAGUAAACGCAGCUACGCGUAUCUGUCUGAAAGUAUCCUACGAAUAAGGAUCGGCUAACUCCGUGCCAGCAGCCGCGGGAAUACGGAGGAUUCAAGCGUUAUCCGGAUUUAUUGGGCGUAAAGGGUUCGUAGGCGGUAUGUCAAGUACAGGGGUAAAUCUCCGCGCUCAACGUAGGAACUGCCUUUGAAACUGGCAAACUGGAGUGUGUGAGAGGAUAGUGGAAUGCGAGGUGUAGGAGUGAAAUCCGUAGAUAUCUGGAGGAACAUCAGUGGCGAAGGCGACAAUCUGGCACAUAACUGACGCUGAGGAGCGAAAGCGUGGGUAGCAAACAGGAUUAGAUACCCCAGUAGUC